rnacentral:hammerhead_ribozyme from 1 species
AUCUUAAUGACGAAUGCCAAAUAGGACGAAACUUGUGUCCAAGGU